rnacentral:rRNA from 1 species
UACGGAGGGUGCGAGCGUUGUCCGGAAUCACUGGGCGUAAAGGGCGUGUAGGCGGUCCGCUAAGUCUGAUGUGAAAGCCCGGGGCUCACCCCCGGAAGGGCAUUGGAAACUGGCAGACUCGAGUCCCGGAGAGGAGGGUGGAAUUCCGCAUGUAGUGGUGAAAUGCGUAGAUAUGCGGAGGAACACCAGUGGCGAAGGCGGCCUCCUGGUACACUCCUGACACUCAGACGCGAAAGCUAGGGGAGCGAACGGG